rnacentral:rRNA from 1 species
AGCGCGCGCAGGCGGAUCAGUCAGUCUGUCUUAAAAGUUCGGGGCUUAWACCCCGUGAUGGGAUGGAAACUGCUGAUCUAGAGUAUCGGAGAGGAAAGUGGAAUUCCUAGUGUAKCGGUGAAAUGCGUAGAUAUUAGGAAGAACACCAGUGGCGAAGGCGACUUUCUGGACGAAAACUGACGCUGAGGCGCGAAAGCCAGGGGAGCGAACGGGAUUAGAUACCCCGGUAGUCCUGGCCGUAAACGAUGGGUACUAGGUGUAGGAGGUAUCGACCCCUUCUGUGCCGGAGUUAACGCAAUAAGUACCCCGCCUGGGGAGUACGACCGCAAGGUUGAAACUCAAAGGAAUUGACGGGGGCCCGCACAAGCGGUGGAGUAUGUGGUUUAAUUCGACGCAACGCGAAGAACCUUACCAGGUCUU